CUCCGGAUGGAGAUGCAGUCUCCCCUUUACCGAUGAGUCUCACUCCACUUUAUGAGCCUUGCUGCAAGAAAUUUCUAUUUUCCUGCCCUCUGGGGACCCCUCUCCUCCUUCCCGACUUGGGAGGAGGAGAAGGCAAGGCUGGGGCCGGUGCGCAGCCAAGGGUCCCCAGGCCGAGCUCCUCAUGCAUAAAGCAGGGAGGCUUUUCCUCCGCAGCUCAUUAGAACCUCUGGGCCGAAAGACUGGCCCCGUCAUUUCCCUUGCAAAUGAAGUUCCCGUUCCGCGGCCUUUUCCUCUUUAAUGCCUCAUCAACCCAGCAGGCGACCCGGAGCCCGCUGCUCGACUCCGCCCGGCGCGGGGCAGCUGUUUGGCUCAUUUCGAUUAGCGGGACGCGUCCCUGGUAAACAGCCAAGGCCAGCUGCAGACCCUGACCCCCGACGCCGCCCCGAAACCCUGAAGACACGGCUGCGACCCCACCGGUAAUUAGGAGGUUUUCAAGGCUGGUGUCCCCCAAGCCCAGACCAGCUGGAGAGCUCAGUCCCCGGUCCCGCUGUGCUCUCCACCGCCGACCUCUCAGGAGUCAAGGAACCCGCCUUCAGUGUUGGUAAAGGUUGCAGAAAUCAACUCUUGGUUUCAUCGCGCUCAAGUCAAAGCCUGAAAGGCAGAGAGCAGCCCCUGACAGCCCAGAAGAGCAUCCUGGGUAUUGGUGUAAAGAAGUUGGAAACUUCAAACCGAACAUUACAAAAACUGAGUAAAGGAGUGAUAACCGCAGUCCAGGUCAAUCCCACCUUUCCCCUACCAAAUUCAGUUACUUCCACUUUUCCUUUCAAAAUCCACUGUCAAAUAUUACCGCUUCUUGUUAAUGCAUGUUUUCAGGUGUUUACAGGGAACCUUGAAUUAUCCAUGGGGAAGCAGGAGCAGCCGCCAACAAACCUCUCGAACGCCGAACAGGGAAGGAAGUGGUGAUUUAUUCGGCCGGGAGCUGCAGCAGAGGGUCUCUGUCACCCAAGGUGGAGUGUUGUGGCAUGAUCACUGCUCACUGGAACCUGCCCCUCCUGGAAUCAUGUGAUCCUCCCCACUCAGCCUCUCAGGUAGCUGGACCACAGAUGUACCACCAUGCCCAGGUAAUUUUUUGUAUUUUUAGUAGAUAUGGGCUUUUACCAUGUUGCCUAGGCUGAUUUCCACUCAUGGACUCAAGUAAUUCACUCACCUCAGCCUCUCAAAGUGCUAGGGUUAUAGGAAUGAGCCACUGUGCCCAGCCAACUGGAGCAUUUCUAAGGCUUAUAAUAAUCAUCUUAUUACAUAUAAUAGAGUACAUCCUAGUAUUCUCUGCUUUAGAUCACGAGCUCAAAAAUGACCCCACCACUACUGCCAACCACCUGUGAGUUCACUCUGUGUGUUUCACAUUAAUGAACACACUGAAGUCCAGUGUAAAAUGUACCUACUCCUACCCUGAGUUAGGCAGCCCUUGAGACUUUCCUACAAUGACAGACAGUGUUUGGGACCUCUCUAGGCUAUCGUACUUCCACAGGCCCACACAGAUGCCAGAACUGCCUGGCAGAAUGAGGAGUUACACCGGGGCCACGUGGUAAAUGCACAAUAGCACCCCAUUGCAUCAACUCUGCACCCAUUCUUGAGUUCACAUUUGCCUCUUCCAUUUAGGAGAUUGAGAGGCUGGGAAAUUUACCACUGUACCAUUUCUAUCUGAGAAGUGAAGAUAUAAAAUUUACCUUCAGGUACAGCUGCAGUGGGGGAUGAAUGGGUUAAUUUACAUGAACUGAGCAGUGGUGAUACAAAUUUUUAGGAAAAUUGCUCCUUUGGUUGUGCUCUGCACCGG
rnacentral:lncRNA from 13 species